rnacentral:rRNA from 1 species
GAUGAACGCUGGCGGCGUGCCUAAUACAUGCAAGUCGAGCGAACAGACGAGGAGCUUGCUCCUCUGACGUUAGCGGCGGACGGGUGAGUAACACGUGGAUAACCUACCUAUAAGACUGGGAUAUCUUCGGGAAACCGGAGCUAAUACCGGAUAACAUGUUGAACCGCAUGGUUUAACAGUGAAAGACGGUCUUGCUGUCACUUAUAGAUGGAUCCGCGCCGCAUUAGCUAGUUGGUAAGGUAACGGCUUACCAAGGCAACGAUGCGUAACCGACCUGAGAGGGGGAUCGGCCACAGAGGAACUGAGAGACGGUCCAGACACCUACGGGAGGCAGCGGGAGGGAAGCUUCCGCAAUGGGCGAAAGCCUGACGGAGCAACGCCGCGUGAGUGAAGAAGGUCUUCGGAUCGUAAAACUCUGUUAUUAGGGAAGAACAAAUGUGUAAGUAACGAUGCACGUCUUGACGGUACCUAAGCAGAAAGCCACGGCUAACUACGC